GAUGAACGCUAGCGGCAGGCUUAAUACAUGCAAGUCGAGGGGUCAGCAAUGACACCGGCGGACGGGUGCGUAACGCGUAUGCAACCUACCUACAUCAGGGGGAUAGCCCUAGGAAACUGGGAUUCACACCGCAUAAUAGUAUUGAUGGCAUCCUUGAUAUUUGACAUAUUUAUAGGAUGAAGAUGGGUAUGCGUAAGAUUAGCUAGUUGGUAAGGUAACGGCUUACCAAGGCGACGAUCUUUAGGGGCUCGGAGAGGAGUAUCCCCCACACUGGCACUGAGAUGCGGGGCAGACUCCUACGGGAGGCAGCAGUAGGGAAUAUUGGGCAAUGGAGGCAACUCUGACCCAGCCAUGCCGCGUGCAGGAAGACGGCCCUCUGGGUUGUAAACUGCUUUUGAAUGGGAAGAAUGUGAUGUUUGCGAGCAUUAAUGACGGUACCAUUAGAAUAAGCCACGGCUAACUACGUGCCAGCCGCCGCGGUAACAC
rnacentral:rRNA from 1 species